rnacentral:rRNA from 1 species
UCAGGCCUAACACAUGCAAGUCGAACGGUAACGCGGGGCAACCUGGCGACGAGUGGCGAACGGGUGAGUAAUGUAUCGGAACGUGCCCAGUAGUGGGGGAUAGCCCGGCGAAAGCCGGAUUAAUACCGCAUGAGACCUAUGGGUGAAAGCGGGGGAUCGCAAGACCUCGCGCUAUUGGAGCGGCCGAUAUCAGAUUAGGUAGUUGGUGGGGUAAAGGCCUACCAAGCCGACGAUCUGUAGCUGGUCUGAGAGGACGACCAGCCACACUGGGACUGAGACACGGCCCAGACUCCUACGGGAGGCAGCAGUGGGGAAUUUUGGACAAUGGGCGCAAGCCUGAUCCUGCAAGGCCGUGUGCGGGAAGAAGGCCUUCGGGU